CCGUAAGAUAUUAGGGUUUUGAGACUGCGUUCAAUUACGUGUGCUCGGCCCUUAUUCUUUCAUCCACACACACCUUUGUGCACUAUGGGACGCAAGUCCCCCAUUUUCACAUUAAAAACCUAGUUAUAUGCAUGUCUUUUAUACUCUAUGGAGUAAUAUA
rnacentral:misc_RNA from 1 species